GGGUCCGCACAAGCAGUGGAGCAUGUGGUUUAAUUCGAUGCAACGCGAAGAACCUUACCAGGCCUUGACAUCCUCGGAACUUUCUAGAGAUAGAUUGGUGCCUUCGGGAACCGAGUGACAGGUGCUGCAUGGCUGUCGUCAGCUCGUGUCGUGAGAUGUUGGGUUAAGUCCCGCAACGAGCGCAACCCUCGUCCUUAGUUGCUACCAUUUAGUUGGGCACUUUAAGGAAACUGCCGGUGAUAAGCCGGAGGAAGGUGGGGAUGACGUCAAGUCCUCAUGGCCCUUACAGGCUGGGCUACACACGUACUACAAUGCUACGGACAAAGGGCAGCAAGUUCGCGAGGACAAGCAAA
rnacentral:rRNA from 1 species